rnacentral:rRNA from 1 species
ACGGGACAUUAAAUAAUCAAUAAUCUUGGCUUGUCCAUUAUUAUCUAUUUACUCGUGAACUGUAUUAUUAUUUGACAUUUGAGGGAUGUUCCAACGUUAUAAGGAUAGACAUCGGAAAAUGUUAACCGAGUCAUAAUCAGGUUUAGGCCUGGUAUCCUAUUAUUAUUUACCAAAUGAAUUCAGAAUUAAUAUUGUAACAUAGACCUAAAAAAUCUAUAAAACAACUUUUAACAACGGAUCUCUUGGUUCUCGCAUCGAUGAAGAACGUAGCAAAGUGCGAUAACUAGUGUGAAUUGCAUAUUCAGUGAAUCAUCGAGUCUUUGAACGCAACUUGCGCUCAUUGGUAUUCCAAUGAGCACGCCUGUUUCAGUAUCAAAACAAACCCUCUAUCCAACUUUUGUUGUAUAGGAUUAUUGGGGGCCUCUCGAUCUGUAUAGAUCUUGAAAUCCCUGAAAUUUACUAAGGCCUGAACUUGUUUAAAUGCCUGAACUUUUUUUUAAUAUAAAGGAAAGCUCUUGUAAUUGACUUUGAUGGGGCCUCCCAAAUAAAUCUUUUUUAAAUUUGAUCUGAAAUCAGGCGGGAUUACCCGCUGAACUUAAGCAUAU